UCGGAUUUGAACUGGCUUUCCCGCCCUACACAGUUUCAGUGCAGACGGUGGAGGCCUCUGCUUUGCUGCGGCUCACUGUGUUUUUUCUCUCUUUAAAGAGUAUAUACAUACACAUAUAUAUAUACCAUGGUCGGAGGAGGAAGCCAGUAUAAAUACAAUAUAGAGCCAACUCAAGUGAGUAAUCAUAUAUACACAUAUACAUGCAUACGUAUAUAUAUGUAAUACAUGCAAACAUGUAUGUUUAUACAGAUGAUAUGUAGAUAUAUGUCUAUAGUCUUAACCUUAUGUCGCUACUUUUUAAUCACCAUCAUAGACACACAGACAUGUUCAUUCGCGUCAUAUUCACAUCAUUACUGAUGUAAAUUAUUAAAUCUUUUAUUUUACAGCUUGUUAUUAAAUUACAUAUUUCUUGAAAAUUAAUUCAAUUUUUAAAGUGAUCGCUGUAAUAUCUAUUAGGUGGGUGUACACAGCAUAUACUUAUUUUAAAUAUAUUUUAUAUAUUAAAUAUACAUCUAAAUUUUUAAUAUUUCUUGCCAAUAUAUAAUCAGCAGGUUUCACAAUUAUCUCCCCUUAGUCUUUGUUGCCAUCGCUCCCUCCUCUUCCCACUCUUUAUCUCCUACCAUGUCUAUAUCACAUCACUUUUCUUCCCCCUCUAUAUGUAAUCCCUUUAACCUCCUCUUACUUAAUCUAAUCUUAUCUUUCUUCACAUAUUUCUUUUCGACCUCUUCGCAUUCCUCCCACUUUAAUUAACAGUUUCUAUCUUUCUAAUUGCUCCCCACUUCUAAAACUAUCCUCCCAAUUUUUCCCUCUUUUUAAUUCCCUCGUCUUUAUUUCUCUCUUGCAACUUAAUUUUAUGAAUGCCUCUUAUGUACUCUCUAUUCAGUUUACUAUUUUUUGAAACUUUCUUUUUUACAUCAUGUUUUUAUUUUGAUUUUCAAAUCAUAUCUUUCCCAUUUUUUAAAAUCAAUACUUGGCACUUUUUUAUAUGAAGAACAUAAAACUGAUUUUCGUUUCGUUUCCCAAGCACAGCGUUUUUUAUUUUAUACGUGCCCUCAUGUUUACACAAUUCACGCUGUCGGUAUAUAUUACAUUAUAUUUCUGUAGUAAAUGCGUGACAUUUUUAGUUAUAUAUUUUGAUUUAUUUCCUGUAGAUGUAUUAAAUAUUUCUCUUAUUUUUUUUUUGUAUUGAAUAUCGGUUAGAAUAAGGACAUGGUAAAACGUGGCCCUAGUUAGUGUAAACGAAACGAAGAGCUAUUUUUACUCCCCCUCCUCUUCUCCGCUUUCACUAUUCAUUUCAUUUAAAUUCUUUACUUUUCACUCCCUCUCCUCACAUUCGCUCAUUUCUUUGAGUUAGUUUUUUUUCUCUCUCGUCUAACUUCAUUAAAAAAUUUAAAAUCCCAGUUUAUUAAAAAUUCUUUUAUCCACUCUUUAUCAAAUCCAUUCAAUAGCUUUCCAGAUCCUACGAAACUGCUGUCAUGGCGAUGCCGGCACACCGAGGCCGACAUUCGGAAAGCAGAGGAAACGAACAGCUUUUAUUUUCUUGUUUUGAAAAUCGACCACCUCGGUGUUUGUUUUUGUAUUUUAACCGCGUAAAUUUAAAAUAACAACAAACCUAUGUCAUGAAACUAGAAUGUUGAAAAAAGACUAAGCUAAUCGAUUAUUAACAGAUAUAAAAGAUUUCAUUUCAAAUCAACACUUUAUUUGUAGAAUUUUAUUUGCUAAUAAUAAUAAGUUAAAGUUUAAAUCUUUAAAAAAGUUUGAUUUUUUUUUUUUUAAAUUUAAAUUCUCAAUUUCCCGUUUUGUAUUUAUUGACUGACAUAAGUUUUCAAUUUUUCACAGUUAAAACCACCAAAUGUCCGUUCUCUUUCUCUCUGAUCGCUCGCUUGAAGUGAAUCAAAGCAAUGCAAACCAACCAGCCUGUCAGCUUUCAGCCCAACCGACAAAAACAUGGUCGCCAUGUCUGAAUUUACUGUAGUUUGUAUGUUUGCUUCUCCAAUGGAGGAAGGAAAUGUGGUAGCCGCCAUAUUCUUUGCUUAAACUCACCUCUCACUACAAUCUUCAUUUGCUUUUCCCUCUACUUCACCCUCUCUUCAUUUGCUUUUCCCUCUAUUUCACCCUCCCUUCAUUUGCUUUUCCCAUAUUUCACCCUCUCUUCAUUUGCUUUUCCCUCUAUUUCACCCUCCCUCCAUUUGCUUUUCCCCUCUAUUUCACCCUCCCUUCAUCUGCUUUUCCCUCUAUUUUACCCUCUCUUCCUUUGCCUUUCCCUCUAUUUCACCCUCUCUUCAUCUGCUUUUCCCUCUAUUUCACCCUCUCUUCAUUUGCUUUUCCCUCUAUUUCACCCUCCCUUCAUUUGCUUUUCCCUCUAUUUCACCCUCCCUCUCUCUCUCUCUCUUUCGCUCAUUUACUUGUCUUUCAUUCUAACGUUUACCCUUCCUUCUGACACCCUCUCUAAUUUGCUUCUCUCUCUCUCUGUCGUUAUUACAUAUACUCUUCCUUCUACUCCGUCUGCGCUAUUACUUCUUUUCUCUCGUUACUUUCUACCCCCUCCUACUCUCAUUCAUUAGCUUAUUUCUUUUACUCUCCUUUCUUACCCCCUCCCUAUUAAUCAUCGUUUUCUUUCUGUUUUGUCUUUCCUCCUCUCUCCUUUUUUCUUCAACUUUUAUACCCUCCCCCCACCUUUUCUUUUACUCAAUCCUCGUUUACCCUUUCUAUAUUUCUCCUCCCCUUAACUCUCUUAAUCCCUCUAUUUGUUUCCUCUCUUUCUCUCUCAACCAACAUGGCUACUGAUUACUCUCUCUUUCUCCCACCUCUCUCUCUUUGUAGUACAAAGGAAUUGAGCGACAAUGCUUCUUUUCAAAGGGCAAAAUUAG
rnacentral:lncRNA from 1 species